rnacentral:lncRNA from 1 species
UCAAGGUGCAGGCGUGGGGCAGCGAGGCGCCCAGCUGCCUUCUUGGGCUGUGGUCUGGUCUGGGCACUGCCCGCAGAUGGCCACAGCAGGCCCAGGGUGCUCUUGGCAGCCUGGGGCUCCUGGGCGUGUGUGCCCCUUCCUCUUGCAUCCUGGUUUCAUCUCCCAGGAAAGGGCAUCUUCCAGCCCUUAAUCCUGACCCAGCCCGUGAAAGGAAAAGCAGGCAUCCCAGCACCAUGAACAGCCGCCCCCGGAGCCGCCUCCACACCACACAGGGCAGCUGGUGGGCGGGUUGUAGGGCCGUGGCACUGGCUGCCUUGUGCUUCGCUGGUCCCAGUGGGGGCUCUGGGUGUGGUGAUGGAGAAUCAGUGCCUGCCCUCCAGCCUCGCUUCUUGGUGGCGGAGACCUCUGCCCACAGCGAGCCUUGGCGCAUGUCGCUGCAGCUGCAGGAACAAGCCAGGCCCCCGCACCCUGGCCUUUAUGCCCCCGAGUUCUCCCUGCCUUGCCCUUUCUCCUUCAUUGCC